rnacentral:lncRNA from 1 species
AAGAAAUAAAAUGGAAAUUGUAAAAAUCAGAAAAAAAAACCACAAGCGUCUGAUCAAGCCUCAUUAAUUGACGUGGUUGAUCAGAGGGCUCUCAAGCGCGCGCUUACCAUGUACAUGAGUCAAGCGCGUGGUACCGUGCAUUAAAUAAAGUCAAACAUAACAAGGGCCAGGAUUAGAUCGUGGGAAAUGCAUCCAAUGGUCCAGAUUCAAUCUGGCAUGGUGGACGGUGGUGUACACCACCGUCUUCUCCGGCGAGCACACCAGCUCCGGCCAGAGUUGCA